GGUGUGAUCUGGAUCCUGAUCCUUGGUUGAAAUAUUCAGUGAAUGAAGGUCUGAGGGUCUUCCACUGUUUGGACAGGAAGGUAUUGGUAUGUAAGCCCGGAGCUCAGGGUAGUUAGUGUAAUUCAUGGUUCUGUGGUGAGUGGGACUCUGAAAUUUGGGGGAGGAAAGGGAAUACGAUGCAAAUGCCCACCACGCCCCUCUCACUCCUGUGGAAGACUGAUGAUAUAAGGUGUUUCAGGGUAGUCUGGAGACUCUGAGGGCAAAGGGGUAACAUCCCAGGUCAGGAAGAAUAGAGUGGCCAUAUCUUCCCUACGUUUUCAGAUCUUUAGAUAAACUAAAGCACAGCCCAGGUCCCUCCUGUGAGUGGAGAUGGGAGCACUAGGUGAAACUCUAGAACUGGAAGGAGAAUUUGCUCUCUGCCAGAGAAGAUGAGCUGCCCAUCUCAGCAGCUGUCCAGCAGAAGCCAGACAUCUCUUUGGGAAGGGAAGAAGGAGCUUGGCUGAAAUGGCCUUUAAGUUUCUUAUGCCUUAGCUGGGUGAGAUGUUAUGGAGCUAGGACCAUGUCUGAACUGCUUCCUCCCUUUCUGCAGAGCACAAAGCCAAGCAGCUUGUAAUUGGUUGGUGCAGGUUGAAGCCCCCGCUCUCCCACUGUCUCCCCAUGACGCAGGCCAAGAUGCUGCCUCUAGUCAUACCUCUAGGGCUCACCCAAGCUGGUCAUCACCAUAUAGCCCAGAGAGAGUAGCUUCUUUGCCAUAGAGCCCAUGCCCCCCCAAGACCUCUGAUGAGACCGGUCAUAAUUUAGCCUACUGGCCAGGAGGGCCCUUGGUGACAGCCAGGAAUCAGGAAUCAGUAAAGGCCAAGCAGGACCCAGAACACGGGUUUUGCUUGCCAUACACAUUAAUUCCAGAGGUGAAUUCUAACUCCUCCUCCUCCCCAAUCGAGGCCUGUUAGAGCAGAUUGAAAACACAAAAGCACAGCGACUCAGUGGACACGUGAUUAUAAGCGCCCCCCAGUGCAUCCAUUUCAUUGCCAGGUAGAUCCUGAAAUAGCCCAGGCUAAUCCAGUCUAACCCAUUAUUGGCAAUCAAACUUGAAAGCACUUUUCUUCCUUUUCAUUCCACCCUACAUCUUACCAGCUAAUGAAAGGCAGAGUCAGGGCUUCUACCAUUGCCUUGGCUACUGAACACCAUCACAGCCCUAGAAGGGCCAUCGCGGGGGUCCCAUCAACUGCAAGGAGACUGACAUGUUCACAUCCAUGGGGCAUAUGAUACUGCAUGAAUGCCAAGUCUCCACACUGUUUGCAGCCUCCUCUGUGAAUCCCAAUGGCCUGCACUUGUACAGUUUGGGUGUUUGAUAGAUAAAGCACGUAUGAGAAGAGAAAACAAAAUAAAUCAACUUUUUAAAAAAGCCAGCACUGUGCUGUCAAUGUUCAUUUUUUUUUUCCUUUCCAAUUCUAGUUUAAAAAAAGCCGGAGGUAAAUAAUGUCAGGUCAAUGAAUAUCAGAUAUAUUUUUUGACUGUACAUUACAGUGAAGUGUAAUCUUUUUACACCUGCAAGUCCAUCUUAUUUAUUCUUGUAAAUGUUCCCUGACAAUGUUUGUAAUAUGGCUGUGUUGAAAACCUAUACAAUAAAGCUGUGACCCUGAGAUUCAUGUUUUCC
rnacentral:lncRNA from 9 species